rnacentral:rRNA from 1 species
UAAACCAUGCACCGAAGCUGCGGCAGCGACACUAUGUGUUGUUGGGUAGGGGAGCGUUCUGUAAGCCUGCGAAGGUGUGCUGUGAGGCAUGCUGGAGGUAUCAGAAGUGCGAAUGCUGACAUAAGUAACGAUAAAGCGGGUGAAAAGCCCGCUCGCCGGAAGACCAAGGGUUCCUGUCCAACGUUAAUCGGGGCAGGGUGAGUCGACCCCUAAGGCGAGGCCGAAAGGCGUAGUCGAUGGGAAACAGGUUAAUAUUCCUGUACUUGGUGUUACUGCGAAGGGGGGACGGAGAAGGCUAUGUUAGCCGGGCGACGGUUGUCCCGGUUUAAGCAUGUAGGCUGGUUAUCCAGGCAAAUCCGGAUAAUCAAGGCUGAGGUGUGAUGACGAGGCACUACGGUGCUGAAGUAACAAAUGCCCUGCUUCCAGGAAAAGCCUCUAAGCAUCAGGUAACAUCAAAUCGUACCCCAAACCGACACAGGUGGUCAGGUAGAGAAUACCAAGGCGCUUGAGAGAACUCGGGUGAAGGAACUAGGCAAAAUGGUGCCGUAACUUCGGGAGAAGGCACGCUGGUGUGUAGGUGAAGCCCCUGCGGGUGGAGCUGAGACCAGUCGAAGAUACCAGCUGGCUGCAACUGUUUAUUAAAAACACAGCACUGUGCAAACACGAAAGU